UACGGGGGGGAGCAAGCGUUUGUUCGGAUUUACUGGGCGUAAAGGGCGCGUAGGCGGCCACCGCAAGUCAGUUGUGAAAGCUCUGGGCUUAACCCCAGAAAGGUCAGCUGAUACUGCGGGGCUAGAGUGCAGAAGGGGCAACUGGAAUUCUCGGUGUAGCGGUGAAAUGCGUAGAUAUCGAGAGGAACACCUGCGGCGAAGGCGGGUUGGCUGGGCUGACACUGACGCUGACAGCGCGAAAGCUAGGGGAGCGAACGGG
rnacentral:rRNA from 1 species